GGCUUGGUAGUCUAGUGGUCUAUGAUUCCCGCUUUGGGGUGCGGGGGGUCCCGAGUUCAAAUCUCGGCCAAGCCC